AGUGGAAUUUCUGGGUCAUAUGAUCAUUCUAUAGCUUUUUGAGUAACUACCAAGCUGUUUUCCAAAGCAGCUGUACCAUUUUAUACCCCCACUAGCAAU
rnacentral:pre_miRNA from 1 species